rnacentral:tRNA from 1 species
AGAUCUGUAGUUGAUAAACAACAUUAAAUUGCAAAUUUAAAAGAGUAAAAUAUACCAGAUCUU